GACGAACGCUGGCGGCGCGCCUAACACAUGCAAGUCGAACGGAGUCAAGAGGAGCUUGCUUUUCUUGACUUAGUGGCGAACGGGUGAGUAACGCGUGAGUAACCUGCCCUGGAGUGGGGGACAACAGUUGGAAACGACUGCUAAUACCGCAUAAGCCCACGGAUCCGCAUGGAUCUGCGGGAAAAGGAUUUAUUCGCUUCAGGAUGGACUCGCGUCCAAUUAGCUAGUUGGUGAGGUAACGGCCCACCAAGGCGACGAUUGGUAGCCGGACUGAGAGGUUGAACGGCCACAUUGGGACUGAGACACGGCCCAGACUCCUACGGGAGGCAGCAGUGGGUGAUAUUGCACAAUGGGGGAAACCCUGAUGCAGCGACGCCGCGUGGAGGAAGAAGGUUUUCGGAUUGUAAACUCCUGUCGUGAGGGACGAUAAUGACGGUACCUAACAAGAAAGCACCGGCUAACUACGUG
rnacentral:rRNA from 1 species